rnacentral:rRNA from 1 species
UACGAGAGGCCCAAACGUUAUUCGGAAUUACUGGGCUUAAAGAGUUCGUAGGCGGCAUUGCAAGUAGGGUGUGAAAGCCCUCGGCUCAACCGAGGAAUUGCGCUCUAAACUGCAGUGCUUGAGGAAGCUAGAGGUGAGCAGAACAGAUGGUGGAGCGGUGAAAUGCGUUGAUAUCAUCUGGAAUACCGGAGGCGAAGGCGGCUCACUGGGGCUUUUCUGACGCUGAGGAACGGAAAGCCAGGGUAGCGAACGGG